CAGUAGCCGCGGUAAUACGUAAGUGGCAAGCGUUGUCCGGAAUUAUUGGGCGUAAAGGGCUCGCAGGCGGUUUCUUAAGUCUGAUGUGAAAGCCCCCGGCUCAACCGGGGAGGGUCAUUGGAAACUGGGAAACUUGAGUGCAGAAGAGGAGAGUGGGAUCCCAUGUGUAGCGGUGAAAUGCGUAGAGAUGUGGAGGAACACCAGUGGCGAAGGCGACUCUCUGGUCUGUAACUGACGCUGAGGAGCGAAAGUGUGGGGAGCGAACAGGAUUAGAUACCCCCGUAGUCCCUGUCUCUUAUAC
rnacentral:rRNA from 1 species